GGAGAAAAAGGAGAAAAGGGUGAAGAAGGAUUUCAAGGCUUUCCUGGACUGAAAGGUGAAAAAGGAGAAAAGGGGUCCCUGGGCUCACCUGGCCCCCCUGGGAAGGAUGGAGCAAAAGGAGAAACCGGUGAACCAGGACAACCAGGAGAAUUUGGACUGCCUGGGCCAGCAGGUCCAAAGGGAUCUGAAGGAAAACAGGGUCCUCCAGGAAUUAAAGGCUAUGUAGGAGCACCGG